GAUGAACGCUAGCGAUAGGCUUAACACAUGCAAGUCGAGGGGCAGCAUGGUCUUAGCUUGCUAAGACUGAUGGCGACCGGCGCACAGGUGCGUAACGCGUAUGCAACUUGCCUCACAGAGGGGGAUAACCCGUCGAAAGACGGACUAAUACCGCGUACACUCUAUUUUGGGCAUCCAAGGUAGAGGAAAUGAAAUUCGCUGUGAGAUAGGCAUGCGUCCCAUUAGCUAGUUGGUGAGGUAACGGCUCACCAAGGCGACGAUGGGUAGGGGAACUGAGAGGUUGAACCCCCACACUGGUACUGAGACACGGACCAGACUCCUACGGGAGGCAGCAGUGAGGAAUAUUGGUCAAUGGGCGAGAGCCUGAACCAGCCAAGUCGCGUGAAGGAUGACUGUCUUAUGGAUUGUAAACUUCUUUUGUAGGGGAAUAAAGAGGGGCACGUGUGCCCCAGUGAAUGUACCCUACGAAUAAGCAUCGGCUAACUCCGUG
rnacentral:rRNA from 1 species